GAUCCUGGCUCAGGAUGAACGCUGGCGGCGUGCUUAACACAUGCAAGUCGAACGAAGCACUUUAACCUGAUUCUUCGGAUGAAGGUUUUUGUGACUGAGUGGCGGACGGGUGAGUAACGCGUGGGUAACCUGCCUCAUACAGGGGGAUAACAGUUAGAAAUGACUGCUAAUACCGCAUAAGACCACGGAGCCGCAUGGCUCAGUGGGAAAAACUCCGGUGGUAUGAGAUGGACCCGCGUCUGAUUAGG
rnacentral:rRNA from 1 species